AGAGUUUGAUCCUGGCUCAGAUUGAACGCUGGCGGCGUGCUUAACACAUGCAAGUCGAACGCGAAAGUGGCUUCGGCCGCGAGUAGAGUGGCGCACGGGUGAGUAACGCGUGGAUAAUCUGCCUCUGCAAUCGGAAUAACGACUGGAAACGGUCGCUAAUACCGGAUACGCUUAAGUUUUACCUCUUAAGGAAAGAUGACCUCUAUUUAUAAGUUAUCGUGCAGAGAUGAGUCCGCGUCCCAUUAGCUUGUUGGCGGGGUAACGGCCCACCAAGGCGACGAUGGGUAGCCGAUUUAAGAGGAUGAUCGGCCACAUUGGAACUGAAACACGGUCCAAACUCCUACGGGAGGCAGCAGUGGGGAAUAUUGCGCAAUGGGCGAAAGCCUGACGCAGCGACGCCGCGUGAGGGAUGAAGGUCUUCGGAUCGUAAACCUCUGUCAGAAGGGAAAAAUGUACAGUGCUCCAAUCAACACUGUAUUGAUGGUACCUUCAGAGGAAGCACCGGCUAACUCCGUGCCAGCAGCCGCGGUAAUACGGAGGGUGCAAGCGUUAAUCGGAAUUACUGGGCGUAAAGCGCGCGUAGGUUGUUUUGUAAGUCAGAGGUGUAAUCCCACGGCUUAACCGUGGAACUGCCUUUGAUACUGCAUAACUUGGAUCCGGGAGAGGACAGCGGAAUUCCAGGUGUAGGAGUGAAAUCCGUAGAUAUCUGGAAGAACAUCAGUGGCGAAGGCGGCUGUCUGGACCGGUAUUGACGCUGAGGCGCGAAAGCGUGGGUAGCAAACAGGAUUAGAUACCCUGGUAGUCCAUGCCGUAAACGAUGAUUACUAAGGUGUUGGAGGAUUGACCCCUUCCGUGCCGCAGUUAACACAAUAAGUAAUCCACCUGGGGAGUACGACCGCAAGGUUGAAACUCAAAGGAAUUGACGGGGGCCCGCACAAGCAGUGGAGUAUGUGGUUUAAUUCGAAGCAACGCGAAGAACCUUACCAGGUCUUGACAUCCGAUGCAUAGUGCAGAGAUGCAUGAAGUCCUUCGGGACAUCGAGACAGGUGGUGCAUGGUUGUCGUCAGCUCGUGUCGUGAGAUGUUGGGUUAAGUCCCGCAACGAGCGCAACCCUUAUUGCCAGUUACUACGCAAGAGGACUCUGGCGAGACUGCCGUUGACAAAACGGAGGAAGGUGGGGAUGACGUCAAAUCAUCAUGCCCUUUAUGACCUGGGCUACACACGUACUACAAUGGCGUUUAACAAAGAGAAGCAAGACCGCGAGGUGGAGCAAAACUCAAAAACAACGUCUCAGUUCAGAUUGCAGGCUGCAACUCGCCUGCAUGAAGUCGGAAUUGCUAGUAAUCGCGGAUCAGCAUGCCGCGGUGAAUACGUUCCCGGGCCUUGCACUCACCGCCCGUCA
rnacentral:rRNA from 1 species